UCGUGUGUUCUAGAAAGGAGCAGGAGCUCUCAUGAGAGCUCAAGAAACCCUAAACGUGAAGAAUCAUCAAAUCGAAGGGCAAAUCAAGGUCUAAAUUCAUGAAUGAACACGGAUUAAUGAUCACCUUCACAAGGGGAUUGUAAGUAUAGGGAUCAUGUCAAGAUGGAUGGAAGCAUGGAAGGUUAACGGGUCAAAAAGAGGCGAGGAAACAGAUGCGAAUACGAACACUAAAGGUUGUACGAGUCACGAGGAUCUUCAAGGAUUAGAGAUCGAGGAUCGAGUCACAAGACAGAUUGUACGGAAACGUUGGUGUUGAAAUUUAGAAAACCCAUGUCAUGCAUUUAAUUGUAAAUGAGUCAAUUGAUGACUUCAUGUGAAAAGGUUGUAUUAAAAUGAAGUUUUAAGUAAGUCAAGGUAAUUAUAAGGAAAGAAAGUUUAUGGCU